UAGAGGAAGUAAAAGUCGUAACAAGGUUUCCGUAGGUGAACCUGCGGAAGGAUCAUUACCGAGUGAGGGCCCUUUGGGUCCAACCUCCCACCCGUGUUUAUUUACCUUGUUGCUUCGGCGGGCCCGCCUUAACUGGCCGCCGGGGGGCUUACGCCCCCGGGCCCGCGCCCGCCGAAGACACCCUCGAACUCUGUCUGAAGAUUGUAGUCUGAGUGAAAAUAUAAAUUAUUUAAAACUUUCAACAACGGAUCUCUUGGUUCCGGCAUCGAUGAAGAACGCAGCGAAAUGCGAUACGUAAUGUGAAUUGCAAAUUCAGUGAAUCAUCGAGUCUUUGAACGCACAUUGCGCCCCCUGGUAUUCCGGGGGGCAUGCCUGUCCGAGCGUCAUUGCUGCCCUCAAGCCCGGCUUGUGUGUUGGGCCCCGUCCUCCGAUUCCGGGGGACGGGCCCGAAAGGCAGCGGCGGCACCGCGUCCGGUCCUCGAGCGUAUGGGGCUUUGUCACCCGCUCUGUAGGCCCGGCCGGCGCUUGCCGAUCAACCCAAAUUUUUAUCCAGGUUGACCUCGGAUCAGGUAGGGAUACCCGCUGAACUUAAGCAUAU
rnacentral:rRNA from 1 species